rnacentral:misc_RNA from 1 species
UACCUCGCGUGCCAUCCUAACUGGUACGUGUCAUCCAUCCCAACCACAAGUUUGAAUUUGCCUUUGCGGAUGGCUUCAAAAUUUCGUCUGUGCGUAAUAAUGAUCAAGACAACCAACUCGCCAACACCACUUGUCAACUUGCCACCUCAGGUUAACUCGCAAACACCAGUGGUCAACUCACCGACGUCAAUUUGCCGACAACUUUGGUCAACUCGCCGACACAAAUCUUUGUUUACUCGAUUUGUGACGCUAAAGAACUGUUAUGUCCUCUUUGAAAACGGAGCUAAUAUUAAUUUACAUUCGAUUUGAUAAUUGUUGUAAAUUUUCUUUUAAUUGUCCAAUGUCGGGUUCAAAGAAUAUCAAAUGUUUAAAACUUUUUGCGAACCACACCAGUAGUAAUG